ACACCAAAUCUCCGUCUGCAAAAUGGCCGAUUACAUUAGUGAAGUACAUACAUAUGUAGCUAGACACUAGUGUCUUUUGUGGGUGAAUUUUCGGUUUUCAAUACCACAAUUUUCUUUGAAGUAUGUUUACCCAAAGCUGAAAAUAUUUCUUUGGCAGCAUAUAAUUUCAGGAUUGAUCAAAUGUUUCGGGAAAUCUAUAAAUUGCUUGGAUAAGCAAACCAAUGUCCAAUUGUUUGGUUACUUUUCAUGCACAGUAAACAUUUCAAGAAAGUACCGAAAUAUCGCGACAAAACUCAUUUACUUGUCUUGUUUCCUAUCUGUGCAUAUUUUCCUUUCUAAGACGAUCUCAGCCUGCGGGAAUAUGGAUGAAAAAUACUUCGAACGAAAUCGGAUUAAAUUUGGCGGUUGGAAUGGAUGUAAAAGACGAAGGGAAGGGAGAUAAAGGUAUGCAAAAGGGAGUUUUUCCAACUAUGGAUCAUCGAGCAAAAGAAGAGGUGAAUCAUGGUUUUUACAGCCUCAGAAAAUGGAUAGAAAAUCUAGAACAAACUAAUUUUAGAAUUUCAUAUUAAAUUUGAAUUUCAGCGCGUUAGUUAACUAGGUUCCCACCUACGUUACUACCCAUUGCAUAUUUUGUAUGAAACUUCGUACGAACAAUUGUUGUUCUACAUUUUCGAUAUUUUCAUAUGGUUUCACCACUUCUCAAAAUUGUAUCACUGCUUUAAAAAUUCUUUAUAAAAAUUAGCAAAGGAUCAGGAAACCGUGAGAAAGAUGUAGUCUUAGGAGUCCUCUAGUGGCAAAAACAUGAGGUGCCGCCACACUAGUCAUUAAAUUUAAAUACAAACUACGUUACAAAUUACAAUAUAACACGCUUGUGUAAUAUACUAAAUUUUAAUAAUAAUUUUUCGAAGUUUGUUGUACUUUUUACACUUUACAAUCCGAUCUUUUUUUAAGCACAUUUUAUGAAACUCAUCGAAAUUGUCUAUUAACAAAGCACGUGGAAGUGUGGCAAUGGUUUAUCCAAAAAGUAUUACCAAACAACAUUUUAAUAUUAAUACUGACUUUAAGCCAGUAUUAAAUGAUAAAUCGAACACAUCGUUUGAACGCACAAGAGGAGUAUAUUACAUUAUUGAAAUUUGGAUAUGCAUGUUUUCUUUUCUUGUAUAUUGCUACUUGGAAACUUCAUAAAAUGCAGUUUGAAACAA